CGAGUGCUGAGGUGGUAACUUCAAUUCCAGCAAUAAUAAACACAAACAUGUACCUCCCUGUUGCAUCCAAGAGUUUUCCUGAAAAAGACAACAUCCCAGGACUUGGUGGAGGUGAAGGAACAGGAGGGAGGAUGUGAAGGAAGUGCCUCUCCAAACCUGAAGAUCAGAGGAAGUAGUGCAUAGUACUGUUUUUUUUCCAUGCAGAGUUCUGUCACAAUAAAGAUACUUGAUGCUU